rnacentral:rRNA from 1 species
AGGUGAUAUGAACCGUUAUAACCGGCGAUUUCCGAAUGGGGAAACCCAGUGUGAUUCGUCACACUAUCAUUAACUGAAUCCAUAGGUUAAUGAGGCGAACCGGGGGAACUGAAACAUCUAAGUACCCCGAGGAAAAGAAAUCAACCGAGAUUCCCCCAGUAGCGGCGAGCGAACGGGGAGCAGCCCAGAGCCUGAAUCAGUGUGUGUGUUAGUGGAAGCGUCUGGAAAGGCGCGCGAUACAGGGUGACAGCCCCGUACACAAAAAUGCACAUACUGUGAGCUCGAUGAGUAGGGCGGGACACGUGGUAUCCUGUCUGAAUAUGGGGGGACCAUCCUCCAAGGCUAAAUACUCCUGACUGACCGAUAGUGAACCAGUACCGUGAGGGAAAGGCGAAAAGAACCCCGGCGAGGGGAGUGAAAAAGAACCUGAAACCGUGUACGUACAAGCAGUGGGAGCACGCUUCGGCGUGUGACUGCGUACCUUUUGUAUAAUGGGUCAGCGACUUAUAUUCUGUAGCAAGGUUAACCGAAUAGGGGAGCCGAAGGGAAACCGAGUCUUAACUGGGCGUUAAGUUGCAGGGUAUAGACCCGAAACCCGGUGAUCUAGCCAUGGGCAGGUUGAAGGUUGGGUAACACUAACUGGAGGACCGAACCGACUAAUGUUGAAAAAUUAGCGGAUGACUUGUGGCUGGGGGUGAAAGGCCAAUCAAACCGGGAGAUAGCUGGUUCUCCCCGAAAGCUAUUUAGGUAGCGCCUCGUGAAUUCAUCUCCGGGGGUAGAGCACUGUUUCGGCAAGGGGGUCAUCCCGACUUACCAACCCGAUGCAAACUGCGAAUACCGGAGAAUGUUAUCACGGGAGACACACGGCGGGUGCUAACGUCCGUCGUGAAGAGGGAAACAACCCAGACCGCCAGCUAAGGUCCCAAAGUCAUGGUUAAGUGGGAAACGAUGUGGGAAGGCCCAGACAGCCAGGAUGUUGGCUUAGAAGCAGCCAUCAUUUAAAGAAAGCGUAAUAGCUCACUGGUCGAGUCGGCCUGCGCGGAAGAUGUAACGGGGCUAAACCAUGCACCGAAGCUGCGGCAGCGACACUAUGUGUUGUUGGGUAGGGGAGCGUUCUGUAAGCCUGCGAAGGUGUACUGUGAGGUAUGCUGGAGGUAUCAGAAGUGCGAAUGCUGACAUAAGUAACGAUAAAGCGGGUGAAAAGCCCGCUCGCCGGAAGACCAAGGGUUCCUGUCCAACGUUAAUCGGGGCAGGGUGAGUCGACCCCUAAGGCGAGGCCGAAAGGCGUAGUCGAUGGGAAACAGGUUAAUAUUCCUGUACUUGGUGUUACUGCGAAGGGGGGACGGAGAAGGCUAUGUUGGCCGGGCGACGGUUGUCCCGGUUUAAGCGUGUAGGCUGAUUUUCCAGGCAAAUCCGGAGAAUCAAGGCUGAGGCGUGAUGACGAGGCACUACGGUGCUGAAGCAACAAAUGCCCUGCUUCCAGGAAAAGCCUCUAAGCAUCAGGUAACAUCAAAUCGUACCCCAAACCGACACAGGUGGUCAGGUAGAGAAUACCAAGGCGCUUGAGAGAACUCGGGUGAAGGAACUAGGCAAAAUGGUGCCGUAACUUCGGGAGAAGGCACGCUGAUAUGUAGGUGAAGUCCCUCGCGGAUGGAGCUGAAAUCAGUCGAAGAUACCAGCUGGCUGCAACUGUUUAUUAAAAACACAGCACUGUGCAAACACGAAAGUGGACGUAUACGGUGUGACGCCUGCCCGGUGCCGGAAGGUUAAUUGAUGGGGUCAGCGCAAGCGAAGCUCUUGAUCGAAGCCCCGGUAAACGGCGGCCGUAACUAUAACGGUCCUAAGGUAGCGAAAUUCCUUGUCGGGUAAGUUCCGACCUGCACGAAUGGCGUAAUGAUGGCCAGGCUGUCUCCACCCGAGACUCAGUGAAAUUGAACUCGCUGUGAAGAUGCAGUGUACCCGCGGCAAGACGGAAAGACCCCGUGAACCUUUACUAUAGCUUGACACUGAACAUUGAGCCUUGAUGUGUAGGAUAGGUGGGAGGCUUUGAAGUGUGGACGCCAGUCUGCAUGGAGCCGGCCUUGAAAUACCACCCUUUAAUGUUUGAUGUUCUAACGUAGACCCGUGAUCCGGGUUGCGGACAGUGUCUGGUGGGUAGUUUGACUGGGGCGGUCUCCUCCUAAAGAGUAACGGAGGAGCACGAAGGUUGGCUAAUCCUGGUCGGACAUCAGGAGGUUAGUGCAAUGGCAUAAGCCAGCUUGACUGCGAGCGUGACGGCGCGAGCAGGUGCGAAAGCAGGUCAUAGUGAUCCGGUGGUUCUGAAUGGAAGGGCCAUCGCUCAACGGAUAAAAGGUACUCCGGGGAUAACAGGCUGAUACCGCCCAAGAGUUCAUAUCGACGGCGGUGUUUGGCACCUCGAUGUCGGCUCAUCACAUCCUGGGGCUGAAGUAGGUCCCAAGGGUAUGGCUGUUCGCCAUUUAAAGUGGUACGCGAGCUGGGUUUAGAACGUCGUGAGACAGUUCGGUCCCUAUCUGCCGUGGGCGCUGGAGAACUGAGGGGGGCUGCUCCUAGUACGAGAGGACCGGAGUGGACGCAUCACUGGUGUUCGGGUUGUCAUGCCAAUGGCACUGCCCGGUAGCUAAAUGCGGAAGAGAUAAGUGCUGAAAGCAUCUAAGCACGAAACUUGCCCCGAGAUGAGUUCUCCCUGACCCUUUAAGGGUCCUGAAGGAACGUUGAAGACGACGACGUUGAUAGGCCGGGUGUGUAAGCGCAGCGAUGCGUUGAGCUAACCGGUACUAAUGAACCGUGAGGCUUAACCUUACAACGCCGAAG